GUUUGAUCUUCUAUCCGAUGUCCAGUCAAGGAUUGUCUGGCAAACCCAGGCCGGUUUUAUGAGAAACAUAAAAAGAAAUUUGAAUAGUUAUCCAAAAAUAUCAGCUCUUUGUGGUUAAAAAAUUUCCUGACUACGCAGUUGUUGGAGAUCUUUCCGAUAACUUUUGGUUUCCACCACAAGCACUACUUCAACAAAACGUUCGAACACCAGAAAAAAUUUAAGGACACCUGAAGUUAUUAGACUUAGCAGAUAAUGCAGCCUGCUGAUUGUGAUGUGUGAAGUGUGAUGCACUAUGUAACUCCAGAGUACUACACCCGGAAGCGUAUCAAAUAGAAGACGAAGAUCUCUGGCAGCUACAUCUCAUAUUUUGCACUUUCCAAGAGAAGGAAAAUUAAUAGAUUAGCGGUAAGCACUGAGGAUCCGCAGUAUCGCAGAAAUAAAGGGGUGACACGAUUGGUACAACUCCAUUGAACAGGUUCGAAAAAUAAU